rnacentral:rRNA from 1 species
GACGAACGCUGGCGGCGUGCUUAACACAUGCAAGUCGAACGGCAAGGCCCUGCUUUUGUGGUGUGCUCGAGUGGCGAACGGGUGCGUAACACGUGAGUAACCUGCCCUUGUCUUUGGGAUAACUUCAGGAAACUGGGGCUAAUACCGGAUAGGAGCUCCUGCUGCGUGGUGGGGGUUGGAUAGUUUCGGCGGUUGGGGAUGGACUCGCGGCUUAUCAGUUUGUUGGUGGGGUAGGGGCUUACCAAGGCUUUGACGGGUAGCCGGCCUGAGAGGGGGACCGGCCACAUUGGGACUGAGAUACGGCCCAGAGUCCUACGGGAGGCAGCAGUGGGGAAUAUGGCACAAUGGGCGGAAGCCUGAUGCAGCAACGCCGCGUGCGGGAUGACGGCCUUCGGGUUGUAAACCGCUGUCGCCUGUGACGAAGCGGGAGUGACGGUAAUGGGUAAAGAAGCACCGGCUAACUACGUG